rnacentral:rRNA from 1 species
AGUCGAGGGGCAGCAUAUAGAUUGCUUGCAUUUAUGAUGGCGACCGGCGCACGGGUGAGUAACGCGUAUCCAACCUACCCAUUACUAGGGAAUAACCCAGCGAAAGUUGGCCUAAUGCCCUAUGUAGUCGUUUGAUCGCCUGAGAUUUCGACGAAAGAUUUAUCGGUAUUGGAUGGGGAUGCGUCUGAUUAGCUUGUUGGCGGGGUAAAGGCCCACCAAGGCAACGAUCAGUAGGGGUUCUGAGAGGAAGGUCCCCCACAUUGGAACUGAGACGCGGUCCAAACUCCUACGGGAGGCAGCAGUGAGGAAUAUUGGUCAAUGGGCGAGAGCCUGAACCAGCCAAGUAGCGUGCAGGAUGACGGCCCUAUGGGUUGUAAACUGCUUUUAUAUGGGAAUAAAGUGAGGGACGUGUCCCUUAUUGCAUGUACCAUACGAAUAAGGACCGGCUAAUUCCGUGCCAGCAGCCGCGGUAAUACGGAAGGUCCAGGCGUUAUCCGGAUUUAUUGGGUUUAAAGGGAGCGUAGGCUGUUUGUUAAGCGUGUUGUGAAAUGUAGGAGCUCAACUUUUAGAUUGCAGCGCGAACUGGCAGACUUGAGUGCGCACAACGUAGGCGGAAUUCAUGGUGUAGCGGUGAAAUGCUUAGAUAUCAUGACGAACUCCGAUUGCGAAGGCAGCUUACGGGAGCGCAACUGACGCUAAAGCUCGA